rnacentral:lncRNA from 1 species
AAUUAAACAAUUAUGUACAGAAUUAAAGAAAUAACCAAAGAUGAUAACUCGAAUUAACGGUAAUAUAAUUAAUAAACUUCAAUAUUUAUGACAACCACAACCCUAGAACGCGAAAUUUAGCUCUACAUAGACAUGGUAGCAAAAUAACAAUUCAUCCAAAGAAACGUAAAGUUUACUGAGUUUGAUGGAAGAAAGAUAGAAUCUGAUGAAUUUCGCCCUCUACGGCGGUUCCGUGCUCUCCCUUGGUCCAAUCCCCCCCUAAAAAUGAUAUUUAAAAACUAUUUAUAGAUAUAGGGAAAAGCCUAGGCAAAAUAACCAAGUCUAAAACCAAAAAGAAAACAAACUAACUUUGAAACCCGGACCCGUGCAUCAAGGUGUGAAACACGCGAACGUCCCCGCGCCGGACCUGGCCUCGCGACCUUAAACGCGCGAGAAUUGGCUCGCGUCGCGCCACUAUAUGCAAGGAUAUCUCCUGCGUCGUUACUCUAAUUUGAUUUCUUUUGUUAGUGCUUGUUGCCUAACUUUCUUUCCAAGCUUCAUGCAAUCACAACCAACAUUGUUGCUUUUCCAGGUAAGUUCUCUUAAGCUUCUUUUUCGUUAGUUUCUCCUUUUGCAUGUUUUAUCUUUGUCCUCCAAUUUCUUUGUGCACUUUGCUCCAAAUUCUUUUCUUUUUAACGUUAAUUUGCAUGCAAACUCCCCAAAUCAUUUCCAAUUGACUCCUGCACAUAAAAAUAUCGUUAUUAAGCUCGAGUCAUAAAUAUUCACAUCAAAGUUAACAAGAUCAAGGUAUAAUGCAAGGCAAAUUACAUGCAAAAAUAUAGAAUUUUAACCAAACAGCACCACUCCACACUUAAACGUUGCUCGUCCUCAAGUCAACUAACAAUUCAUACUAUCCUUGAGCACUUUAUAUUUACACAAUCGAGGCACACUACACCAAUGACCAUAGUUGAUAGCAACAAUUAAACUGUAGCAUAUGCAAUCACUUACACGUCCCUUAACUUAUGUCAUUCUUCAAAAAUAUUCACAACAAAGACGACAUGCUUAUAACAAUCCUAGCCUCUAAACCGACUCAGUGUCACAAUGCACUCAUGGCUUGAACACCCAACAUCCUAGACAAGUCUAAUAACGUUACAUAUCCCUCAUGAAACUAUGUGCCCUCACAACAAGAACAAAAGAGUAAGUUGAAUCCACACACUUAAAUCAAAUGCUCAAAUAUAUUUUAAUGACUCAUAUAUAUCAAAGAAUACCACUCACUCUCACAAAAGAAGUCACAUGCAUGCAAUUGGUACAAUAUGCUUGCCCUUAUUGUAAAUCUCUACUAAUGUAGGCUCACUCGNNNNNNNNNNNNNNNNNNNNNNNNNCACAAAAGAAGUCACAUGCAUGCAAUUGGUACAAUAUGCUUGGCCCUUAUUGUAAAUCUCUACUAAUGUAGGCUCACUCGAUCUAAAAUCAAUUAGGACUUUUUCAUGGUUGUAAUGUGGGCUAAGGGACGGGUAGGAUAUAUAUAGGAAUAGUGGCUAGUCCUCCUAAGCAUUUUAAUACAUUAUGUCACACCCCUUUUUAACCCCCCAAAAGAUGUGUUAUGGAUUGUUGUGGGUUAAAGAGUGUUUCCAAUUAAAGUGACAAACUUGAGUAUGGAUUAUUUUAUUUAUAGAGUCGUCAUUUGGAAUUGAUUUUUCGGUGUCUCAAGUCACCUUUUAUUUGAAUCCCUAGUCAAAGGAAGGUUUGACUCUUUUAUUAGUGAUCUGCAAAAACAAAGUCCGGAUAAGGAAUUCUGUUGACCGGAAAGAAGGUGUAAGGCAUUUCCCGAGUCCCGUGGUUCUAGCACGGUCGCUUUUAUUGACUUAUACUUAGCUUGAAUUAAUUUUGGACAAACUGUGUUUUAUAUGAUUUUUAAGUUUUUCCUAUGUCCGCUUUUAUUGCUUGAUUAUUAGAAUUACUAAAGAAUGACUUGGAGAAUAUUACGUUGUCAUGACCACGCUACGCAAGCGAAUGCAUGAUCGAAAACGAAAUUAAUUAACUUAUCAUAAUCGCAUCUCGCAAGAGAAUCCGGAAUCAUGACAAUCAAAUAAUUACAGUACUUUUGAGAAAUUACUACAUUUGUGAUUAAGAAAAUUAGUUUAGAAAAUUAUUAAAUAUCAUUAUCGCGCUACGCAAGCGAAUCCACGAUUAGAACAAGAGAUUAAUUAAAUUAAAAAAUAAUUAAACUAUGGAGAUUAUAGAAUUAAUUUACUAAAUAUUAAACAUCAUGCUACGCAAGCGAGUCCGUGAAUAAAAAAGGUUAAAGUGCGCCUACUAGUUGCCUAGCGAUAUUGUUAAUUAUUUUUUCUAAACUAAUUUUGAGAUUUUUUUAAAGUCAUGAGGUAUGAAAUUUAUUGUGGAGUAGUAUGGAAUUUAAUUAUCAUGAUUAUUUACAAAAUGAAUUACUCUCCUAAGUUGUGAAAAGUAUUUUCAAUUAACUCAAACCCCAAACAUCCCGAACCCUCGAUGGACAAACUGGCUUAAAGGCCUAAUCCUUCUUAUGCUAACAUAAUGAAAACAUCACACUAACAUGGAAUUUUAUCAAGCAAAACAAGGAAACUGUUAUAAACCACUCAAAAUCACAUGAUGCAUAUUAACAUAGUUUAUGCUAUUCAUUUAAUUGACGAAGGAUACGGGCGCACAAAAACGGAAGAGAUUAACAUGAAGCAUAUGGGUAACUUAAUUACGAUAAUGAAUGGGAAAAGCAUGGUAAAAACAGAUUGAAACAAAAUGAUUAAGUAUUCAUCUAAACUAACGAAAAUUAUCUGAAAUAAUUAAAGGGAAGAGUGAACCUUUUAUUGCUGAAAUUUCCAACGUAUACAAAGGGGCGAGUACCAAAAGAAACAAUAGUUACUAAUCGAAAUUUCGAACCGGCGACGGAACCUCAAACUGAAAAUCACGACUUGCAACCUCGAUCGAUCUUGCAAAAUCGGUGAUUUAGUGGCUGAUUUUUGCUGGUUUGAAGCCGUUUUUGGGGGGUGAUUUUGCUGGUUUUGGCUGAGUUUUUGGCUAGUGUUAGGUGGUGACGUUUUGGUGGUUAAAAGUGCGAAAAUGGCCAGCCUUCGUGGCUGUUUUGGAGCUGCUUUUCAGGAGUUUGGGAGCUGAUUUCAACUGAUUUUUGUUGCUUUUUUGGUUAUUUUUGCAGCUGAUUUUUGCUGGGAAAAGGGGUUAUUUUCUUGCUGAUUUUUAUGGCCUCCUUUUGCUGAUUUUUUCCCCAACAACUAUAUAGAGGGUUUUGUUUUAUAAGAGAGAUGAGAAAAAAUAAAUGAAUAUCGUGUGUGUGUCCGUGAAAGAAAUGUGGAUAUAGGGAUUGUGAGUGG